GACGUAGGGCGCGAGCGUUGUCCGGAAUUAUUGGGCGUAAAGAGCUCGUAGGCGGUCUGUCACGUCGGCUGUGAAAACCCGAGGCUCAACCUCGGGCCUGCAGUCGAUACGGGCAGACUAGAGUUCGGUAGGGGAGACUGGAAUUCCUGGUGUAGCGGUGAAAUGCGCAGAUAUCAGGAAGAACACCCGUGGCUAAGGCGGCUCUCUAGUACGGUACUGACGCUGAGACGCGAAAGCGUGGGGAGCGAACAGG
rnacentral:rRNA from 1 species